CCUACGGGUGGCUGCAGUGGGGGAUAUUGGACAAUGGGGGGAACCCUGAUCCAGCGACGCCGCGUGAGUGAAGAAGUAUUUCGGUAUGUAAAGCUCUGUCAGCAGGGAAGAAAGCAAUGACGGUACCUGACCAAGAAGCCCCGGCUAACUACGUGCCAGCAGCCGCGGUAAUACGUAGGGGGCAAGCGUUAUCCGGAAUUACUGGGUGUAAAGGGAGCGUAGACGGCUGUGCAAGUCUGGAGUGAAAGGCGGGGGCCCAACCCCCGGACUGCUCUGGAAACUGUAUGGCUGGAGUGCAGGAGAGGUAAGCGGAAUUCCUAGUGUAGCGGUGAAAUGCGUAGAUAUUAGGAGGAACACCAGUGGCGAAGGCGGCUUACUGGACUGUAACUGACGUUGAGGCUCGAAAGCGUGGGGAGCAAACAGGAUUAGAUACCCGAGUAGUC
rnacentral:rRNA from 1 species